ACGUGGGAUCUUUCCAGACAGGGGAACGAACCCGUGUCCCCUGCAUCGGCAGGCGUACUCUCAACCACUGCGCCACCAGGGAAGCCCUAUGCAUGUCUUAAGGGUCAUAAAGUGACCGGUACUGUUCACCAGUAUCGGAAGGACCUUAUCCUUGUCCUUAAUAGUAGUCUUUACUAUUUUGCCAGGCUUUUCCCUCUCAUUUAUAUCCAAGGCCUCUCAUUUUUCCCCCACUGCCACCAUAUUGAGCAUACAUCUCUUCCCUGCACACUGCUUUCAAGAAGUCUGCACAUCUUUGACUCCUUCAGCUUGCCUUCCUCAUUUCUGUUACAAUUCCAAAAUAAAAAACUGAUCUCUGCUGCAGUGGUUUUCGAAGCAUGGUCCCUGGAUCAGUAGCAGCAGCAGCACCUCACAACCUGUUAGAAAUAUAAAUUCUUAGGCCCUUGGUCUUCUAAAUCAGAAAUUCCAAGAGUUGAGUCUAGCAAUCUGUCUUUUUAAUAAGCCCUCCAGGUGAUUGUGAUGCAUGCUAACAUUUGAGGGCCACUGCUCUACCCCUGGUGAGAUGCCCCUCUCCAGUGAUCUCUUUCCACACCAGCAGGGAGCUCCAGCCCCAAUAUGUCUACCUCUAUUACCCUUGAAAAUACGUUGAGGUUCUUUUACAGAGAUCCCACAGAGAAUCUGAGUUAGCAGUCUUCCUGCAAUCCCUGUUCCCUUCACUUUUAUGUUGAAAUUUAUGGGAUUUCAGGAAGAGAUCUCUAUCUCUAUGCCCAAAUUUCCCCCUUUUUAUAAAGACACCAGUCGUAUUGGAUUAGAGCCCACACUAAUGACCUCAUUUUAAUUUGAUUACUUCUGUAAAUACCUUAUUUCCAAAUAAGGUCACAUAUUGGGGCACUGGGAAUUAGGACUUCUAUAUAUCCUUCUGGAGGGACACAAUUCCACCCAAAACAAAGACCAUAGAAUUUUACUGGAGGCUCUGGGAAAAUCCCCUUUAUGUGUCCUGGGAAACUUCAACACCACCAAGAGAAGGGAUUAAUUUUCCCUUCUCUUGGGGGAAUUAAGAAACAAUGACAAUUGUCUAUUCUUAAGGAAGUAAGCCAGGUCUGGGUGCUUCUUCUCUGACAUAGACUGCAUAUUUGCAAGAGAGAGGGAAGCACAGAGCAUAUACAACCUCCCCGUUUAAGGCUCUUGAUGGAAUUUGCCCCCCAAAUAGCUUUAAUUUUAUCAAAUGAAGGAUGUGAUCGGAUAUCACCAGGGAACCACAAUUUCUACCCUUAGAAGGCAGAAAAUUGGCCCAAGCAUCCGCCAAUCCCAUUGCCCAGCCUUUUGCUCAGUCACCUGUUAGAAUUCCAAAAUACAAAACCGAUCUCUGCUGCAAUGGUUUUUAUUGCCCGCCCCCCCACCCCCAAGUCUAGGCAGUAGUUGUGAAAUAAUUCUCAGCUACUGCCACAAAGUAGCAAAAGAGACAUAGCAUCGUGGUCUUCUGUAACUUCCACUUCGUUGUAAUUAAAAGCAGCAAGAAUUCCUUUUCACAUAGGGAACAUGGAAACUCAAGUUUGGUGGAUCCUAGACAGAUGCUCAAACAUUUGGAGAACUGAUGUGUGGCUCCUCUUCUCCGUGUCAAGAGGCGUGACAGUGUAAUUCUCUCGCCUAUUCUGGCCCCGUUCCCAGGCUCCCCUCCGGAGGCCGGCAGCCUUGGGCUUCUAGGUAGGAUGAGGAGCGGGAGCGUGAGAGUUGUCAGGAAUCCUGGGCACCUUGAGUACCAGUCUGGGCUCAGAAUCCGGCCUCAGUCCCUAUGGAAGGACGUCUCAGUCCGUCUCCUUCCGCAGUCGCCAGUAGUAAUAGCCUCCACCGGGCUACAACUGCGCAGGGGAAACAGGACCUCUCUGGGAGACGCAGAAAUGGGAGACACAGAGAUACAAAAGGGACUGGAAGCUCCCGCGAAGCAGGAACCGAUCCGACCUAAAAAACAGCCUCCCUUCCCGCAGGCUGAACUGGGGAGGAAGACUGCAGACUCUGCUUGGGCUGGCACUAGGGAGCGGGCAUUGAUCGGCGUCGGCUAUUUGCGCUUUCGGCCAAGAGAAGAAAAAGGGAACUAGGAAACAAGCUUUUUUUUUUUCCCCAGUCGUUUAACGCACGCACUGUGCAUGACUUCUGGAGACUUCUCUCCCGGCUUCAGAACCGAAAAGUAUCAAAGUCAAAAUUUAGCAAAGAAUUGAAGUCGCGGCGCGCGGGGUGGUGACAGGGAAAGACAGUUUGCUCUUUCUUAUUCCACCACCGCGAUCCCCAAGUGAUCUGGAGUCUAAAUCAAGGAGUUCAUUCGUCCUUUCAACAGCUUUUGAGCGCUUACUGGACGCCAGGCGGAAGCUGACGUGACCCGCCUUCGCAAAGAUGUUACAUUCUAGAUCCCAAGUGCUGUGCUUUGGGAGGGGAUACUUGGUUUUGAAGGUCUUUCUCUUUUAGCUCCUGGAGUGAGAAGAGCUGUUUGGGUUGGGUGAAUGCAGGUUCGAGUCCUAGUAGAGCUGAGAAGAACUUUCUUAGUGUCCCUUGGUGAUACCUAGAAUCAUGGUUUCGGGUCAGGGAGUUGGGAACAACGCGGGAAAAAAAAAGGGCAGAAAUGUAUAACUAGUAAGUGUACAGAAUUAUACGGUAUACGCUUGGUAGCGUGGCCGAGCGGUCUAAGGCGCUGGAUUUAGGCUCCAGUCUCUCUGGAGGCGUGGGUUCGAAUCCCACCGCUGCCAAGGUUUUCCUUCUUAAUCACAAGCGAUCACUGCCCGGGUCCUCACUACAGGAGCGGAUAAGGACUUGCCAAAGGUGUUGCAUUUAAGCUGGGGCGUUCAAGUUGAGGAGAGGUGGAGAGCCUUGAAACCGGCGGGGUGGAGUGGUGUUAGGCUCCCGGAAGCAGGAACCGAUCCAAUCUAAACGACAGCCGCCCUCCCUGCAGGCUGAAUUGGAGAGUAAGACUCUGCAGACUCCGGGUUGGGGCACGGAGGGGAGCGGGGAGCGAAGUAAGACUUUGUCUCAUCAUUUUCUCUUAAGUGUUAACACGGCAAAAUUCGGGCAGAUGCAAAGUGUCCCUGUGCAGUUUCUGCUGCUGACUGCCUCUGGAACCCCUACAGUUUCCUACGGGAUGUUCUCUAUUUUUCCACUGGUCUCCCCGCUACAACAGCACCCCCCACCCACCCACCCACCCUUUCUCUUUCCGUCUCUCCCUCCAGGUAAAGGUGGUAAAGUCAAGCCAGUAAAGGACGAUGGGUUAAGCAGAAAGCGAAUCAUCGAGGGAGGCAACUGCUCACCAGCUCAGGGAAGUGAUUCAAUUCCCAGGCUUGAGCCAGCCAAGGAAGAGUACCCUGACCGCCCCCCCACCCCCAGCCCGCAAGGGGAAACAUUCAGUCUUUUAUCAUUAAGUUGAUGUUGGUUGGAAGUUUUUCAUAGAUGUCCUUUAUCAUAUUGAAGAAGUUCCCUUCUUUUCCUUAUUUGCUGAGGGUUUGUGUGAAGAAUGAAUGUAUACUUUGUCAAAUGCUUUGUCUGCGUCUUUUGAAAAUCUCCAGUGUUGGUGCAGAUGGCUCUGAGACUGGUGCCAGCCCCUCCUCCAAGGUUCCCCGCCCCCGAACAUUCUCCCCAGUUCCUGGGCAGCAGCUUUGGGAAGAGCGCAAUGGCUCCGGGAGCAACAUCUCUGUCUCAUCUCUUCUAUACGCCGUGUCAAAGGUCAAAGAGAAGCCAGUACUUUUAGACUAUGUUGAUUAGGACAGCCUCUGACGAUUAAAUGAACGAUUUAGGAUCCGCGCAACCAUGAACCGGAAAACCUAUUCUCAGGUGUCAUUUUGGGGAUAUAUUUGCUCCUGGUACUAAGGCUUUAAGUCCAGAGCUCACUUCAAGUGUGUGAGUGGGAAUAAGGGAGUUAGAAGCCCUAGAUCAUCCUGAGACAUGUCAAAGAACGGGACCGAAAGACAGGAAUUUAGAGGGACUGGGGAAGAGCCCUUCUUAUAUGUGGUUCCUCGUUGUAAUCUAUAACAACCUUACCUUGUUUUUAUUGAGAGUCUAGUAACUGGUAAGAUGUAGAGGACACUAUCUUUUCCAUAAUCUGACAACAGUAGCCAGGGGGCAUUUGGCGGCUGCCAUCCAAGCCUUGAACCCAGCAAUGACAUUUCUUGGCUGUGUCCCAGGAGGUGUCCAGAGAAAGAGCUGUGGGCCAAGCAGGUUUUGACUUGACGGGCAGGACAAGUGAGAUUUCCUUAAAAGGAAUAGAACAGGCUUGUUGGAAUAUCCUCCUGCACUGCACGUUUUUUUUUUAAAAUGUUGGCUGCACUUGGGAAACUUUACAAAACGCUGAUGCUUGAAUACCACCCACAGAGAUCCUGAUGUAAUUGGUCUAGGGUGUGGUCUCCACAUCAGAAUGUUUUUAAGUUCCUGUACAGCCAGGGUUGAGGACUACUGCUUUAGGAAUUUAAUUAUUUUGGAUGUGAUGUGCCAGGUUAAAAACCUGAAGGGCCCUGAAUGAUCUUCUGAAAAAUGGCGUCAGCCAUUAAAUGAAGGUGAUCUGUGCAUGUGGACAGAAUAUUCUGUGAUAGUAAAAACUGCCUGGUGGGAGGGGACAGCUGUCAGGAUCGGAAGCCCCAGUCAGGCCUCUGUGGAGCUGCAGGACUUCUAUCACCAAAACGUUUUUCUAUAAAAGGGUUUCAUCUUCAAGGAAUUCAUGGAAAAGACUCUGACAAGUUCAGGUUUCUGGUAACUGACUAUACUGCUGAACUGAAUGAAUAAGCAU